rnacentral:rRNA from 1 species
AUACGGAGGAUCCGAGCGUUAUCCGGAUUUAUUGGGUUUAAAGGGUGCGCAGGCGGCCAUUUAAGUCAGCGGUUAAAUCGUGGGGCUCAACCCCAUUCUGCCGUUGAUACUGGGUGGCUUGAUUGCGGUCGAGGUUGGCGGAAUUCGUUGUGUAGCGGUGAAAUGCAUAGAUAUGACGAAGAACACCGAUUGCGUAGGCAGCUGACCAGACCGCAAAUGACGCUCAUGCACGAAAGUGCGGGGAUCGAACAGGAUUAGAUACCCUGGUAGUCCGCACAGUAAACGAUGAAUACUUGUUUUCGGCGAUAUAAUGUCGGAGGCAAAGCGAAAGCGAUAAGUAGUCCACCUGGGGAGUACGCCGGCAACGGUGAAACUUAAAGGAAUUGACGGGG